rnacentral:rRNA from 1 species
UACGAAGGUCCCGAGCGUUGUUCGGAAUCAUUGGGCGUAAAGAGCGCGUAGGCGGCCCGAUAAGUCCGCUGUGAAAGUCAAGGGCUUAACCCUUGAAUGCCGGUGGAAACUGUCGGGCUAGAGUCCGGAAGAGGCGAGUGGAAUUCCUGGUGUAGCGGUGAAAUGCGCAGAUAUCAGGAGGAACACCGGUGGCGAAGGCGGCCCGCUGGGCAG